rnacentral:rRNA from 1 species
UACGGAGGAUCCAAGCGUUAUCCGGAAUCAUUGGGUUUAAAGGGUCCGUAGGUGGAUGGUUAAGUCAGAGGUGAAAUCCUGCAGCUCAACUGUAGAAUUGCCUUUGAUACUGGCCAUCUUGAAUUAUUAUGAAGUAGUUAGAAUAUGUAGUGUAGCGGUGAAAUGCAUAGAUAUUACAUAGAAUACCAAUUGCGAAGGCAGAUUACUAAUAAUAUAUUGACACUGAUGGACGAAAGCGUGGGGAGCGAACAGG